AGCGAACGCUGGCGGCAGGCCUAACACAUGCAAGUCGAACGAACUCUUCGGAGUUAGUGGCGGACGGGUGAGUAACACGUGGGAACGUGCCUUUUGGUUCGGAAUAACUCAGGGAAACUUGUGCUAAUACCGAAUGCGCCCUUCGGGGGAAAGAUUUAUCGCCAUUAGAGCGGCCCGCGUCUGAUUAGCUAGUUGGUGAGGUAACGGCUCACCAAGGCGACGAUCAGUAGCUGGUCUGAGAGGAUGACCAGCCACACUAGGACUGAGACACGGCCCAGACUCCUACGGGAGGCAGCAGUGGGGAAUCUUGCGCAAUGGGCGAAAGCCUGACGCAGCCAUGCCGCGUGAAUGAUGAAGGUCUUAGGAUUGUAAAAUUCUUUCACCGGGGACGAUAAUGACGGUACCCGGAGAAGAAGCCCCGGCUAACUUCGUG
rnacentral:rRNA from 1 species